GUGCUACAGUAAGGCGAAGUAAUCGAGAGAAUAAUUCAUCAACUGUGGGGACAGUCGGACUAGCAAAAAUCUGAGCACGUACUGAGUCGAUAUCAUUAGGAAGCCCAGCAAGGGUAAGAACUUGAAACAGCUUUUGUCGUUGCUCUUACUGCUUUGCAACGCUAGCAGAAACUGGCAUCAACGUCUCAAAUUCCUCCAUAACUACCUGCACUUGACCCAAGUAAGUAGACAUAUCCAAUUCUUGUUUCUUUAAAUUUGUCAUCCGCGAUAUCACAUCAUAGAAACGAGAUAUGUCAUUAGUGUAUAAAGU
rnacentral:lncRNA from 1 species